CCCUUAGAUGUUCUGGGCCGCACGCGCGCUACACUGAUGCAUUCAACGAGUCUAAAACCUGCUCUGAUAGGGGUGGGUAAUCUUUUGAAUGUGCAUCGUGAUUGGGAUAGAUGAUUGCAAUUUUUCAUCUUCAACGAGGAAUGCCUAGUAAACGCAAGUCAUCAGCUUGCAUUGAUUACGUCCCUGCCCUUUGUACACACCGCCCGUCGCUCCUACCGAUUGUAUGAUCCGAUGAAUAUCAUGGAUUGAGGAUUAUAGCAGGUUCGCCUGUCUUGAUCUUCGAGAAGUGAAGUAAAUCUUAUCAUUUAGAGGAAGGAGAAGUCGUAACA
rnacentral:rRNA from 1 species